rnacentral:misc_RNA from 1 species
GAUGAAGAACGUAGCGAAAUGCGAUACUUGGUGUGAAUUGCAGAAUCCCGCGAACCAUCGAGUCUUUGAACGCAAGUUGCGCCUCAAGCCAUUAGGUUGAGGGCACGUCUGCCUGGGCGUCACAUAUCGUUGCCUGAUGCCAGUUUCCUCGUGAUGGGUGACUGUGCAGGGCGAAUGAUGGCUUCCCGUGAGCAUUGUUGCCUCAUGGUUGGUUGAAAAUUGAGUCCUUGGUAGGGAGCGCCGUGAUAGAUGGUGGUUGAGUGACGAACGAGACCCAAUCAUGUGAGACCCCUACCGAAUUUGGCCUUCAUGACCCACAUGCGUCUUUGGAACGCUCAUGACGAGACCUCAGGUCAGGCGGGGCUACCCGCUGAGUUUAAGCAUAUCAAUAAGCGGAGGA